UACGAAGGGGGCGAGCGUUGUUCGGAAUUACUGGGCGUAAAGCGCACGUAGGCGGAUCCUUAAGUCGGUGGUGAAAUCCUGAAGCUCAACUUCAGAACUGCCUUCGAUACUGGGGACCUUGAGUUCGGGAGAGGUGAGUGGAACUGCGAGUGUAGAGGUGAAAUUCGUAGAUAUUCGCAAGAACACCAGUGGCGAAGGCGGCUCACUGGCCCGAUACUGACGCUGAGGUGCGAAAGCGUGGGGAGCAAACAGG
rnacentral:rRNA from 1 species